rnacentral:sRNA from 1 species
CAGCGAGGCCCCGCGAGAAUGAUCGCACUGCCGGCGAGCGCCACGGCGGCGCCCGUCAUGUCCCAGUGA